rnacentral:misc_RNA from 1 species
AACGCAUAUUGCACUUUCUGGUAUUCCGGAAAGUAUGCCUGUUUCAGUAUCAGUAAUACUCUCAAACCCAAAGAUAAAAUUUUGGAGUUUGGAUCUGAGCGUAGCCGGGGAAAUAUUACUUUCUGCGGCAUGUUCUAAAUGUAGCCAAAACGGCCUCUCUACCCUUUGAUUCAAAAAUCCCAGGGCGAAAAAGCGGUAAUAGUUGACUCUCGUCAUCUUUCGCUGAAAAGUCCUGGGAGAAGGAGAAUAGGUCGUAAUUUUUUUUGUGUGGGGAAAAAGAAAACCUGCGGUAAUCUCUGUAGGAUUCUUGAUCUGAAAUCAGGUAGGACUACCCGCUGAACUUAA